GACGAACGCUGGCGGCGUGCCUAAUACAUGCAAGUCGAGCGGACAGAAGGGAGCUUGCUCCCGGAAGUCAGCGGCGGACGGGUGAGUAACACGUGGGUAACCUGCCUAUAAGACUGGGAUAACUCCGGGAAACCGGGGCUAAUACCGGAUAAUAUCAAGAGCUGCAUGGCUUUUGGUUGAAAGGCGGCUUCGGCUGUCACUUAUAGAUGGACCCGCGGCGCAUUAGCUAGUUGGCGGGGUAACGGCCCACCAAGGAAACGAGGCGUAGCCGACAGUGGCGCGUGAUCGGCCACACUGGGACUGAGACACGGCCCAGACUCCUACGGGAGGCAGCAGUAGGGAAUCUUCCGCAAUGGACGAAAGUCGGACGGAGCAACGCCGCGUGAGUGAAGAAGGUUUUCGGAUCGUAAAACUCUGUUGUCAGGGAAGAACAAGUACCGGAGUAACUGCCGGUACCUUGACGGUACCUGACCAGAAAGCCACGGCUAACUACGUGCCAGCAGCCGCCGUAA
rnacentral:rRNA from 1 species